rnacentral:rRNA from 1 species
ACACGACUACAUUAGAUACCCGCGUAGUCCUAGCCGUAAACGAUACUCGCUAGGUGUCGGCCACGGUGCGACCGUUGUCGGUGCCGUAGGGAAGCCGUGAAGCGAGCCACCUGGGAAGUACGGCCGCAAGGCUGAAACUUAAAGGAAUUGGCGGGGGAGCACCACAACGGGUGGAGCUUGCGGUUUAAUUGGAUUCAACGCCGGAAACCUUACCGGGACCGACAGCAACAUGAAGGCCAGGCUGAAGACUUUGCCGGAUUAGCUG